rnacentral:lncRNA from 1 species
UGAUUCCUGUGGAGGUCCAAUAGAUGGACAUUUUCAUGUUUUCAUAUAAACAUGUUGCAUUCCCACUCUUUUUCCAGAGAGAAAUUUAAUACUAUUUAGCCAGCUCCCACAUAGGCCAUCACCAGGAUUUCUCCAACUCUGACGGACAAAUAGGAGCAGCAGCCAGAUUCGAAGCAGACAUAAGGUGGGAAAAGGUCUGCAAUUUCCCAAGGUGCCAACCCUGCACAAUCCAAGAUCAUAUUAGGAGGAAAAAGUGCGAUCUUUUGGUGGUAACUUUCAGUACUUACAGACCACUAUCUUUUGUAAAAAAAAAUUAUUACUCUUUUAUAUUUUCUUUUUCUUAUAAAUCUUUUAUAAAUAGUUUCUGCAAAUUCUACUUUUCUAAUAAAUUAAGGUCGGGUGGCUUUGCCUCCCGCUUUAUAAAAAAAACUUUCAGUACAUGCAUACAAUAAUGACUAAACUGGCUUAAGUAUCUGAAUCUUUGUAGCCUAUGGUUGGAAGGAAGUUUAGGCCUGAGGGCAUCAAUUUUCAUUUUAGCGAGAUAUUGGAAGAACAAUUCCUUAAGAUGAUGAUCAUGAUGGAGAAAUAAUGCGUCAGGGCAAAUGCACGAUAACUCGAAGGCGUGUCAGCACGCACUCGCAUGCUUGCAUGAGGGCUAAGUCGGUAUAUCUUUUUAAUCUCUCACAAAACAUCAUUAUCAUGACAAUUGGUGGAGAACCAAUUCAGAUAACAUAUGAUAAUUUAUCCUGUCAUAUAGGAAGAACAUGAUAAACAUGAUCCGACAGCGAGAUAAUGGUUUUUAAGUAGAAAGAUAAAGCGACAAACCACUGAUUACUAUUAUAGUUAUUAUUCUUUUUUAUUACUUUGGCUUCAUCUAAUGUACCUUCCGGGUCCACAUGGUGUUACUUCAAAGAAAGCAAAUGCCAUGAAUUCUGCUGAAAAUUUUAUGUUUUCCUCCAUCAUUUCAUUUAGAUAUAUCCAACAAAGCAAUUGGAUAUCGCAUCAUGUGAACUUCAAUUAAUUUUUAAAACUUGCAUGUUAAUUUAUUUGGUUUUGGACUAUCUGUUACAUUGCUUCACGACAAGGACAUUUCUCCUGUAUUUAUGAACCACCAAUCUUUGCAUAGUUUCUAAGCUUGCUUAAAAAAGGAUUAAAGUCAAUGCUUCUAUUCAUCAUCAAACAGUUGCGGUUAAGAAAGGCAACACAUUGCCAUCGUUAAUUGGUUUUGGACAGAGAGAUCCACAUGAGUCUAAGCUAGAGUUCCAAAGCCUCAUCAAGUUGCAGGACUUUCAGGUCGCCCUCAUGAUCUUUUAUUUUUUUGUCAUUCAAUUGCGAUGAGGACGGAAUCCAACAAAGGUUGUCCUCAUAUCAAACACACACCAUAGGGGACAUCACAUGCACUAUUUCAAUUAUUUAGACUUCAAUGUCACACAAGCUGGUUGUACGGAAACGUUGGAUUUUCCUUCUACUUUUUUUGAUCUGGAUGUAAAUUUUUGUGGACAACCAAGUGGAAAUGUGAAGAGAGCAAGUAAUAUCCAAGAAAGUAAAAAGAAAGAGGAGCAGAAGAAAUUACAUACCAAAGAAACAGAUAGGAAGAUUGGAUAGGAGUAGAUAGAUCAUAUUAGAUUAUCAGGCAGAAGACAGAGAGAGAGCCAAGAAAUUGAUCUAAUCGAGAAAUCAUGUCACCGAGUCCAAACUCAAACAAUAGUUAACAGUAAAAGUCAAUAAGAUAGUGGGUGUAAAAUAUUAGCAUCAUGGUUUUUAGAUUCUAACUGCAGUAAUUGCUGAAUUUGAUGUUAUCUUUCCUUGACAUGUUACAUCUCUCUUACAUUCUCCACUGGAAAUUGAACAGUUAUUAUAGAAAGACAGAUCUGUCUUAACAUCUAUUGUAGCCUGCCUUUCACAUUCACUGCCAACAAGAUAGGAACCUUUUAAGGUGAACCCAAUUGAAUAGGUCAUCGAAUCGAUUCAAAUGUUCGCUGUGAUCAAAAGAGGCCAUUCUAAUCAAAUUUAUUGCCACAGACCAGUCCGAUUUCAUACUUCAGAUCGACUCGAUAGGGGUGGACCUGUCAUCCUGAAGUUUAGUCAUGAUCUGCUCUUUAAUGUUGUUUAGAGAGGGAAAAAGCAUUGGUCCAUGUAAUCAGUUCAACCCAUCACCCAAAUCCUGACUAUCUUUUGAGUGAAGAAGCUCGGUGUCUUAACAACCAUUGGUGAAUGAGAGCACUCUUGGGCUGAACUUUCCUCUUUAGGCUGAAAUUGUCCAUGAAAGAGAACCUUAUGUUUGUGCCUAGAAUUUGUGAGCCUAUCUUGUUAGCUAUUUAAUCAUUAAAGCUUCAUUAGUUCAGCAAGACACAUGCUCUGCUACAGGCAUAUUUCUCUGCCAAACCUCACAUAAACAGCAUGCACUUUCCAGUAUUGUACAUGGAAAACAAAAAAAAAAUCACAUUUAUGUUGCGCUUAUGUAUAGUUCGAAAGGAGGAAAAAAGCCCUACAAUUUUGAAGGCCAUAUGGCAAAUCAACACAAUAUUUUACAUUUGCUUUGCACUGUGAAGAAGGACUACAGAUCUAGAGAGGUGGCAAAUGUAGAAAGAAAAGGCAAAAGGCAGGCCUCAUAUUUCAGGCAGAUUCAUUGUUAGUUCUUCCCUUGUGCUGACUGCAAGGGACUAACAAAUGAAUGCUAGUACUACAGCCUGCUCCCUUGGCUCAUCAAAGCCCCAAGAGUGAGAAAAUGAGAACAUAUUCUAUAUCCCAUAGGCUGUUGGAUUAGGUGGUUUGCUAAUUGGAUAACCAUUCAUUUGUCUUGAGAUUCAGACACCACUACCUGACUUUCAUUAUGCACAGACAAGCCCAGCAGCACUUUGAGACGGGGAAACUUCAAAAUGCAAACGAACCAGCAAAGCAUGAUCGCAUAAUUAUAGUCCUGAAUUAAGAUGACAAAACUGCACUGCCUGGAUGUUGAACUAAGUCAACCCAAGGCAGCAUCAGCUGUUAUUCAGUCAAAGAACGAAGGUUUCUGAAAAAUAUUUAGUCUGAUGCUACCCCGUAAGAGUUGUGAUUUGAAAAAAGCAUUGUACGGACUGACAAAACUGUGACCAGGGGAUUACACACCUGAUUGCUUGAUAGAUGCCAUAUUGAUGCUUCUAAACUUUGUAGCACAAAAGCUAAAGCCUAUCAUGCAAAGAGAUUUUAUGUGAAGUGCGCAUUUCAAACCUUUAAGUACACCUUGUAGGAAAGGCAUACAAGUUGAUACUUUAAAAAAUUUCACAACCAACUAGGACGAAAGAAAUGAUCUUUGAACUCAAUGGUAAGAUAAGCUCUUAUGCACUGAUCAUUAAGAUUUAUCCAUAUUUGGCAUGUAGAAUGUGUGAUAUGUACCGUAUAUCAUAGUCCAGACAUAACAACGUUGCACAGUUUCACAAUUUCUUUUUUCUUUUAUUUUUUUACAAUUCUAAAUCUUUGCGAGAAUUCAAUGAGAUGCAUUCCUUAUGCCUUGAUAUUUGUGCCGCAUGCCAAAACAUGCCACUCAGGUGUGGCACAUGACAUGGCCAUAUAUUCCCUAGGACAUAACCUUAGAGAGCAUGCAAGACCUAUAGAUCUGAACCAAUUACUUAAUAAUAGCAAAGUAUUUCAUAAAUAAUAAGUGCCAGAAAUACAAGUUUAGAUACAUCUGGUAUCAGGUAUAUGGUCCAACUAACUUUCCUACCAAAUUUUCAGAUCGAUCUCAUGAAGCUAGGCAUCCUAUGGCUUUGAAAAGAGAGAAAAAAUGAUAAUAUAAUACAAACACUAGCAUAAACAAGAUAAUAGUUUUCAACAGAUAUAUAACUACUAAGAAUAUUGCUAUUUUAUAAUUCAUAUACCAAUAAUUUGGUUAUUAAAUAUUUAGCGAACAGAUAUAGUAUAUAUAUUUCAUAUAACAAUGCUAACAUGUAUUACCAGUAUAGACCAAAUAGCUAUUCUUAUAUAUAUCACCAAGUCAGUAGUUCUAUUUAAUAGUAAUUUUAGUUAGAAAUAUUUAUCAUUACUUGAUUAACAUGGGACGGAUCCAACAAUAUUGAUUUUUCGGCAUUUGAACUAACCAUGGUCAUGCUCCAACUCGUAAUGGGCAAAUGAUAGUACCAUACUCAGAUACUCUGGCUCAUGGCGAAGCCAUCUAUAGUGUCAUACUCCAGCCAAUGUAUGGCAAACUAGAGUAUGUGGCAAAGUCACCGUUAGUGUCACACUUUAACUCAAGACUAAGCAAAUUAUGAUACCAUGUUCCUGCCGUGGUGAUGCCAUCUAUAGUAUCCCACUCUAAUCCAUGACUAGAAAAUCAUGGUACAAUGUCUUUGGCUAUGCCAUCCACAAUAUCAUCUAUCCAAAAGUCCUAUUUUUAAGUCUUUCAAUUGUCCCACUUUCUUUAUGGAUUAUUUUUUUAUUGAUAUGCUUAUUGUAAUUAAGCAUAAUUUAAUAUCAUAAUCCAUGCUAUCCAUACUCAUCGACACACGAUCAUAUGCACAUAUAAUAUCCAUAAUUAUGAAGAAGAUUCUUAUAAAAUAUUUAUCUUAAUCAUCAGGAGAUAAUAUAUACAUACAUACGCGCGCGCGCGCGCGCGUGUGUAAUAUCCAUAAUCAUGCAGGGGGUAGCAUAUGGGGAUCCUUACCUCAACUGGAAGCGGAGACUAGCAUGACGUGCCGACUCAGUCUGUAGGUACAUCUCGA